rnacentral:rRNA from 1 species
CGAUGAAGAACGCAGCGAAAUGCGAUACUUGGUGUGAAUUGCAGAAUCCCGUGAACCAUCGAGUCUUUGAACGCAAGUUGCGCCCAAAGCCUUCCGGCUGAGGGCACGUCUGCCUGGGUGUCACAC